AGCGAACGCUGGCGGCAGGCCUAAAACAUGCAAGUCGAACGCCGUAGCAAUACGGAGUGGCAGACGGGUGAGUAACACGUGGGAACGUGCCCUUUGGUCCGGAACAACCCAGGGAAACUUGGGCUAAUACCGGAUAAGCCCUUACGGGGAAAGAUUUAUCGCCAAAGGAUCGGCCCGCGUCUGAUUAGCUAGUUGGUGAGGUAACGGCUCACCAAGGCUACGAUCAGUAGCUGGUCUGAGAGGANGAUCAGCCACACUGGGACUGAGACACGGCCCAGACUCCUACGGGAGGCAGCAGUUAGGAAUCUUGGACAAUGGGCGCAAGCCUGAUCCAGCCAUGCCGCGUGAGUGAUGAAGGCCUUAGGGUUGUAAAGCUCUUUCAGCGGGGAAGAUAAUGACGGUACCCGCAGAAGAAGCCCCGGCUAACUUCGUGCCAGCCGCCGCGGU
rnacentral:rRNA from 1 species